GAUGAACGCUGGCGGCGUGCCUAAUACAUGCAAGUCGAGCGAACGGACGAGAAGCUUGCUUCUCUGAUGUUAGCGGCGGACGGGUGAGUAACACGUGGAUAACCUACCUAUAAGACUGGGAUAACUUCGGGAAACCGUAGCUAAUACCGGAUAAUAUUUUGAACCGCAUGGUUCAAAAGUGAAAGACGGUCUUGCUGUCACUUAUAGAUGGAUCCGCGCUGCAUUAGCUAGUUGGUAAGGUAACGGCUUACCAAGGCAACGAUGCAUAGCCGACCUGAGAGGGGGAUCGGCCACACGGGAACUGAGACACGGUCCAGACUCCUACGGGAGGCAGCAGUAGGGAAUCUUCCGCAAUGGGCGAAAGCCUGACGGAGCAACGCCGCGUGAGUGAUGAAGGUCUUCGGAUCGUAAAACUCUGUUAUUAGGGAAGAACAGAUGUGUAAGUAACUGUGCACAUCUUGACGGUACCUAAUCAGAAAGCCACGGCUAACUACGUG
rnacentral:rRNA from 1 species